rnacentral:misc_RNA from 1 species
UCCGGUUUGGCACCGGCAGUCUCCCUAGAGUUCCCGGCAUCACCCGCUGGCAACUAAGGACAGGGGUUGCGCUCGUUGCGCCACUUAAGGCAACACCUCACGGCACGAGCUGACGACAACCAUGCACCACCUGUCACUUUCGUCCCCCGAAGGGGAAAGCCCUAUCUCUAGGGAAGGCGAAAGGAUGUCAAGACCUGGUAAGGUUCUUCGCGUUGCUUCGAAUUAAACCACAUGCUCCACCGCUUGUGCGGGCCCCCGUCAAUUCCUUUGAGUUUCAGCCUUGCGGCCGUACUCCCCAGGCGGAGUGCUUAAUGCGUUUGCUGCAGCACUAAAGGGCGGAAACCCUCUAACACUUAGCACUCAUCGUUUACAGCGUGGACUAC